UUGGAGGCUGCAGUGAAGCCAUGAUUGCAUCACUGCACUCCAGCAUGGGCAACAGGUCAAGACCCUGAAAGUUAUUGGCAAAGAGUAACUGGCAGAGCAGAGAUUCCAACCCAGGCAAUCUCGCUACAGAGGUGGACUUUACCUCUUCAUGGCAUUCUGAGGCGGCUCCUGCAAUGAAUAAUAGAUUGAUUUCCAAUCGACCAAUGCAAAAGGGACACGUGGUUUUUCUUUUCUAACCAAAGAGAGCAUACGCAUUAGACUGGAAAGACCAGAGUUUCCUAGUGCUAAGUUCUCAGGUUGAGGACUGAGUGCCACUGGAAAUUUCCCGGACGAAAAGCUGCUUGGAGCCUCCAGGGACCGGCAUCCGUAGAGACGAGGUUUCACCAUGUUGACCAGGCUGGUCUCCAACUCCUGACCUCAAGUGAUCGUACUGCCUCAGCUUCCCAAAAUGCUGAGAUUACCAGCGUGAAGCACCGUGGCUGGCAUCAGCAUAUUAAUUGAAGCCUUGUAGAGCUUCACAAAGGUUCCAUUGAAGAUUUGAGGAAGAUGAAGAAGCUGCAACACCUUUCGGACCUUUGGGCUCACACCAUUGAUACUGCUGAUCCUGAUGACCAAUGCCAAUUUGUGUUCUGCAGUGGAAGCCUCUUCAAGUUGGCCUUUGAGUUCUUUUGACACAACCCUAGUCACCAAUAAAGUUAUCUUUUUAUUUAUUUA
rnacentral:lncRNA from 1 species